GCAGCAGUGGGGAAUAUUGCACAAUGGGCGCAAGCCUGAUGCAGCGACGCCGCGUGGGGGAUGACGGCCUUCGGGUUGUAAACUCCUUUCGCUAGGGACGAAGCUUUUUGUGACGGUACCUAGAUAAGAAGCACCGGCUAACUACGUGCCAGCGGCCGCGGUAAUACGUAGGGUGCGAGCGUUGUCCGGAAUUACUGGGCGUAAAGGGCUCGUAGGUGGUUUGUCGCGUCGUCUGUGAAAUUCCGGGGCUUAACUCCGGGCGUGCAGGCGAUACGGGCAUAACUUGAGUACUGUAGGGGUAACUGGAAUUCCUGGUGUAGCGGUGAAAUGCGCAGAUAUCAGGAGGAACACCGAUGGCGAAGGCAGGUUACUGGGCAGUUACUGACGCUGAGGAGCGAAAGCAUGGGUAGCGAACAGGAUUAGAUACCCUGGUAGUCCAUGCCGUAAACGGUGGGCGCUAGGUGUGAGGGUCUUUUCACGACUUUCGUGCCGUAGCUAACGCAUUAAGCGCCCCGCCUGGGGAGUACGGCCGCAAGGCUAAAACUCAAAGGAAUUGACGGGGGCCCGCACAAGCGGCGGAGCAUGUGGAUUAAUUCGAUGCAACGCGAAGAACCUUACCUGGGCUUGACAUACACCGGAUCGGGCUAGAGAUAGUCUUUCCCUUUGUGGCUGGUGUACAGGUGGUGCAUGGUUGUCGUCAGCUCGUGUCGUGAGAUGUUGGGUUAAGUCCCGCAACGAGCGCAACCCUUGUCUUAUGUUGCCAGCAUUUGGUUGGGGACUCAUGAGAGACUGCCGGGGUCAACUCGGAGGAAGGUGGGGAUGACGUCAAAUCAUCAUGCCCCUUAUGUCCAGGGCUUCACACAUGCUACAAUGGUCGGUACAACGCGCAGCGACACUGUGAGGUGGAGCGAAUCGCUGAAAGCCGGCCUUAGUUCGGAUUGGGGUCUGCAACUCGACCCCAUGAAGUCGGAGUCGCUAGUAAUCGCAGAUCAGCAACGCUGCGGUGAAUACGUUCCCGGGCCU
rnacentral:rRNA from 1 species